rnacentral:misc_RNA from 1 species
CAGUUAAGGCACUCAAUUGCACAAAAAAAGUGUUCACGCUCAAAAUGUCAUUGAAAAUUAGUUUAGACACUGCCUGUCUAUAUAACAUUUUGCAAUUUAUUUGCUUUAGCAGGCUAAAUUCUGUAAGAAUGGUACGUUAAUUUCUUAAUAUUUGCGGAUCUAUUUGUUUACCACUUCCCAGCAAGAGACUUCGUCUAGACACUCAUUCUUAGGGCCCUAUGGUCUUUGGGGCCAAUGGCAAGGAUGUGCUGAGAU